AAGGCUAAAUACUCCUGACUGACCGAUAGUGAACCAGUACCGUGAGGGAAAGGCGAAAAGAACCCCGGCGAGGGGAGUGAAAAAGAACCUGAAACCGUGUACGUACAAGCAGUGGGAGCCCCACCACUAAGCCAGUGGUGAACUCCACAUACGCAUCCUUUGCUGAGGAUACGGUUAACGGAGCGAAAGCGACGUUCAACCUCAAAAGAAGCAGAGGGGGCUUAGUGGUGGGGUGACUGCGUACCUUUUGUAUAAUGGGUCAGCGACUUAUAUUCUGUAGCAAGGUUAACCGAAUAGGGGAGCCGGAGGGAAACCGAGUCUUAAUUGGGCGUUAAGUUGCAGGGUAUAGACCCGAAACCCGGUGAUCUAGCCAUGGGCAGGUUGAAGGUUGGGUAACACUAACUGGAGGACCGAACCGACUAAUGUUGAAAAAUUAGCGGAUGACCUGUGGC
rnacentral:rRNA from 3 species